rnacentral:rRNA from 1 species
AUUGAACGCUGGCGGCAGGCCUAACACAUGCAAGUCGAACGGUAGCACAGAGAGCUUGCUCUCGGGUGACGAGUGGCGGACGGGUGAGUAAUGUCUGGGAAACUGCCUGAUGGAGGGGGAUAACUACUGGAAACGGUAGCUAAUACCGCAUAACGUCGCAAGACCAAAGAGGGGGACCUUCGGGCCUCUUGCCAUCAGAUGUGCCCAGAUGGGAUUAGCUAGUAGGUGGGGUAACGGCUCACCUAGGCGACGAUCCCUGGCUGGUCUGAGAGGAUGACCAGCCACACUGGAACUGAGACACGGUCCAGACUCCUACGGGAGGCAGCAGUGGGGAAUAUUGCACAAUGGGCGCAAGCCUGAUGCAGCCAUGCCGCGUGUAUGAAGAAGGCCUUCGGGUUGUAAAGUACUUUCAGCAGGGAGGAAGGUGUUGUGGUUAAUAACCGCAGCAAUUGACGUAC